CACGGUUGCAGCUAAAUCAGCUACAGGACUGUGGGGGAAUAGAAAUAGCGAUGUGGUUCUAUGGUUAACCCCCUUUGCCUACAGGGGCACUUAACUCCAUCCACCCUGCAGAGAAAGAAGACUAACAGAUAUAAGGUACUAAAUAGGCUACCUGGCUGUGUACAAAGCAUAUAGCUAGAAUAUGCUUGAUACAUGGGGAGUAGAGAGC